rnacentral:rRNA from 1 species
CCUACGGGUGGCAGCAGUGGGGAAUAUUGCGCAAUGGCCGAAAGGCUGACGCAGCGACGCCGCGUGUGGGAGGAAGCCCUUCGGGGUGUAAACCACUGUCGGGAGGGACGAACCCCGGACGGGCAAAUAGCCCGGACGGCUGACGGUACCUCCAAAGGAAGCACCGGCUAACUCCGUGCCAGCAGCCGCGGUAAGACGGAGGGUGCAAGCGUUGUUCGGAAUUACUGGGCGUAAAGCGCGGGCAGGUGGUCUUUUAAGUCCUUUGUGAAAUCCCGGGGCUCAACUCCGGAUGUGCAUAGGAUACUGGAAGACUGGAGACUGGUAGAGGCGAGCGGAAUUCCUGGUGUAGCGGUGGAAUGCGUAGAUAUCAGGAAGAACACCGGUGGCGAAGGCGGCUCGCUGGGCCAGUUCUGACACUCAUCCGCGAAAGCGUGGGGAGC